AGCGUCAGAUGUGUAUAAGAGACAGGGUUGAAACUUAGGUAAUACUAAUUGGAGGACCGAACCGACUGAUGUUGAAAAAUCAGCGGAUGAGUUGUGGUUAGGGGUGAAAUGCCAAUCGAAUCCGGAGCUAGCUGGUUCUCCCCGAAAUGUGUUUAGGCGCAGCGGUUAAUUUUGUAUUUUAGGGGUAAAGCACUGUUUCGAUGCGGGCCGGUAAUUCGGUACCAAAUCGAGGCAAACUAAGAAUACUAAAAUAUCUUUUAACCAGUAAGACUGUGGGGGAUAAGCUCCAUUGUCAAGAGGGAAACAGCCCAGACCACCAGCUAAGGCCCCUAAAUAAUUACUAAGUGAUAAAGGAAGUAGAAGUGCUUAGACAACCAGGAGGUUUGCUUAGAAGCAGCAAUCCUUUAAAGAAUGCGUAAUAGCUCACUGGUCGAGUAAAUUUGCGCCGAAAAUGUAUGGGGCUAAGUAAUUUGCCGAAGCUGUGGGAUAUCUAUAUUAUAAAUAUCGGUAGGGGAGCGUUCUGUUAUAGGUUGAAGCAUUAGCGAAAGCGGGUGUGGACGAAACAGAAGUGAGAAUGUCGGCUUGAGUAGCGAAAACAUUGGUGAGAAUCCAAUGCCCCGAAAACCUAAGGUUUCCUUCGGAAGGCUCGUCCGCGGAGGGUAAGUCAGGACCUAAGGCGAGGCUGAGAAGCGUAGUCGAUGGACAACAGGUUAAUAUUCCUGUACUAUUAAUAAUCAAGUAAGGGCAAGGAGUGACGGAGCAGGCUAAGCUAGCCGGAUUCUGGUUACCGGUUUAAACGUUCUAAGUGUUGAUAAAUAGAGAAAAUAUUUUGAGCUGAGACGUGAAUACGUUAUGCUACGGCAUUUAAGUAGUUGAUGUCAUACUUCCAAGAAAAGCUUCCACUGUCGAAUUAUUAAUACCUGUACUGUAAACCGACACAGGUGGGUAAGUAGAGAAUACUAAGGGGCGCGAGAUAACUCUCUCUAAGGAACUCGGCAAAAUGGCCUCGUAACUUCGGGAGAAGAGGUACCCUUUAUGGGUUGCAAGAACCAGACGCUGGCGACUGUUUACCAAAAACACAGGUCUCCGCAAAGUCGUAAGACGACGUAUGGGGGCUGACACCUGCCCAGUGCCAGAAGGUUAAAGAAGUUGGUCAAUCUUUGAUGAAGCUAACAACUGAAGCCCUGGUGAACGGCGGCAGUAACUAUAACUGUCCUAAGGUAGCGAAAUUCCUUGUCGGGUAAGUUCCGACCCGCACGAAAGGUGUAACGAUCUGCGUACUGUCUCGGAGAGAGACUCGGCGAAAUAGACUUGUCUGUGAAGAUGCGGACUACCUGCACCUGGACAAAAAGACCCUAUGAAGCUUUACUGUAGCUUGAGAUUGGCUCCGGGCUUUAUUUGCGCAGGAUAGGUGGGAGGCGUUGAAGAUCUUCUUGCGGGGAGAUUGGAGCCAUUGGUGAGAUACCACUCUAAUAAAGCUAGGAUUCUAACCCUAUACCGUUAUCCGGUUAGGGAACAGUUUCAGGUGGUCAGUUUGACUGGGGCGGUCGCCUCCCAAAAGGUAACGGAGGCGUGCAAAGGUUUCCUCAGACUGGUCGGAAAUCAGUCGUAGAGUGUAAAGGCAUAAGGAAGCUUGAUUGUGAGACCUACAAGUCGAACAAAGACGAAAGUCGGCCUUAGUGAUCCGACGGUUCCGAGUGGAAGGGCCGUCGCUCAACGGAUAAAAGUUACUCUAGGGAUAACAGGCUGAUCUCCCCCAAGAGUUCACAUCGACGGGGAGGUUUGGCACCUCGAUGUCGGCUCAUCGCAUCCUGGGGCGGUAGUACGUCCCAAGGGUUGGGCUGUUCGCCCAUGAAAGCGGUACGCGAGCUGGGUUCAGAACGUCGUGAGACAGUUCGGUCCAUAUCCGGUGUAGGCGUUAGAAUAUUGAGAGGAGCCUUCUUUAGUACGAGAGGACCGAGAAGGACAUACCUCUGGUGUACCAGUUAUCGUGCCAACGGUAAACGCUGGGUAGCUAUGUAUGGAGUGGAUAACCGCUGAAAGCAUCUAAGUGGGAAGCCCACCUCAAGAUGAGUAUUCU
rnacentral:rRNA from 1 species